GGUUCGAUCAUGGCUCAGAUUGAACGCUGGCGGGAUGCUUUACACAUGCAAGUCGAACGGCAGCACGGACUUCGGUCUGGUGGCGAGUGGCGAACAGGUGAGUAAUGUAUCGGAGACAUUGCCUAGUAACGGAGGAUAACUACGCGGCGUAGCUAAUACCGCAUACGCCCUUCCAGGAAAGCGGGGAGCCUUCGGGCCUCGCACUAAUGGAAGCGGCCGAUAUCGGAUUAGCUAGUUGGUGGGGUAACGGCUCACCAAGGCGACGAUCCGUAGCUGGUUUGAGGAGACGACCAGCCACACUGGGACUGAGACACGGCCCAGACUCCUACGGGAGGCAGCAGUGGGGAAUUUUGGACAAUGGGGAAACCCUGAUCCAGCCAUCCCGCGUGUGCGAUGAUGAAGGCCUUCGGGUUGUAAAGCACUUUUGGCAGGAAAGAAACGGCACGGGAUAAUACCCCGUGCAACUGACGGUACCUGCAGAAUAAGCACCGGCUAACUACGUGCCAACUUAUGCGGUAAUACGUAGGGUGCAAGCGUUAAUCGGAAUUACUGGGCGUAAAGCGUGCGCAGGCGGUUCGGAAAGAAAAUGUGAAAUCCCAGAGCUUAGCUUUAAGAACUGCAUUUUUAACUACCGAGCUAGAGAGUGUGUCAGAGGGAGAGUGGAAUUCCGCAUGUAGCAGUGAAAUGCAUGGAAUAUGCGGAGGAACACCGAUGGCGAAGGCAGCCACUCCUGGGAUAACACUGACGCUCAUGCACGAAAAGCGUGGGAACAAACGGGAUUAGAUACCCUGGUAGUCCGCCUAGCAGUAUCAACUAGCUGUUGGGGCCUUCGGGCCUUGGCUAGCGCAGCUAACGCGUAAGUUGACCGCCUGGGGAAGUACGAUCGCAAGAUUAAAACUCAAAGGAAUUGACGGGGACCCACUUUAAACGGUGGAUGAUGUGGAUUAAUUCGAUGCAACGCGAAAAACCUUACCUACCCUUGACAUGUCUGGAAUCCGAAGAGAUUUGAAGUGCUCGCAAGAGAACCGGAACACGAAUUGCAUGGCUGUCGUCAACUCGUGUCGUGAGAUGUUGGAGUUGAAGUCCGCAACGAGCGCAACCCUUGUCAUUAGUUGCUACGAAAAGGGCACUCUAAUGAGACUGCCGGUGACAAACCGGAGGAAGGUGGGGAUGACGUCAAGUCCUCAUGGCCUUAUGGGUAGGGCUUCACACGUCAUACAAUGGUGUCGGGACAGAGUCGCCAACCCGCGAGGAGCCAAUCAGCUCCCGAUCGUAGUCCGGAUCGCAGUCUGCAACUCGACUGCGUGAAGUCAGAAUCGCUAGUAAUCGCGGAUCAGCAUGUCGCGAAGUGAAUACGUUCAGGUCUUGUACACACCGCCCGUCACACCAUGGGAGUGGGUUUUACCAGAAGUAGUUAGCCUAACCGUAAGGAGGGCGAUUAUACGGUAGGAUUCAUGACUGGGGGUGAAGUCGUAACAAAAAGAUAG
rnacentral:rRNA from 1 species